rfam:Triticum aestivum genome assembly, contig: Triticum_aestivum_CS42_TGACv1_scaffold_220713_3B
UUAGUAGUCCCUCCGUCCCAAAAUUCUUGCCUUACAUUUGUCUAGAUACAGAUGUAUCUAAGACUAAAACGUAACUAGAUAUAUCCGUAUUUAGACAAAUCUAAGACAAGAAUUUUGGGAUGGAGGGAGUAUCUA